rnacentral:rRNA from 1 species
GACGGAAGGUGCAAGCGUUGCUCGGAAUCAUUGGGCGUAAAGCGCGUGUAGGCGGUCCGGUAAGUCCGCUGUGAAAGUCGAGGGCUCAACCCUCGAAUGCCGGUGGAUACUGUCGGGCUAGAGUGCGGAAGAGGCGAGUGGAAUUCCUGGUGUAGCGGUGAAAUGCGCAGAUAUCGGGAGGAACACCGGUGGCGAAGGCGGUUCUCUGGGCCUGACCUGACGCUGAGGAGCGAAAGCGUGGGGAGCGAAACAGG